UCUGUGCCAUCCCCUGAACUCCUUGCUUCUCCAGCUCCUUCACCAUCUUCAGCAGUCGCUAAAAAGUCAAAUUCUUUCAGUGCUUCUUCAGUAUCAGGAUCAUCAGUAAGCUCAUGAGAAAUGCAGCACAUGUGAAUCUUGAUGAGAGAGAGGCCAGUGCAUGUCUUCUCUGCGCAGUGAUGGUGCCAAGCCCCUGCCCUGCCCAUCAGGAGAGUAUGCAGCCUGAAACUCUCUGGGCACUUCUGCAGCGAGAGGCAGCAGUCCUGAGUGCCCUUUAUGCUGUGGCACCAGGCCCGAAAUCAUGGCAUAGGAACACCUCACACAACGGGUGCCAUGGAUACAAGAACUGCUCUUGCUGCCAUCACGGAUGACUGAUGCACCCGACAUUCCAAGCGCCCUGCUUUGUCCGAGGCAUUUUCAAUGCAUUAUUUACUUUAAUCCUCAUAAUCAUUUUGUCAAGGAAGGUGGGUUUUACUCUCCCUAUAUUACCAUGGAGGGAAUCACACGCCCAGUAAGCUUAAUUCGUUUCCUGAGCUGCCCUUGCAUUAAGGAACGGAAGUGCGCGAUGUGAACCCAGUACUCUCCCUCUCUGUAACCUGUGGUCUUAGCCACUACAUGUACUUCACUGCUGUUGAAAAGACAUUUUUAUAUUUGAUACUGAUCACAAUAUUCAGGACUGAAAGCAUAGUCAAGAUGACGUUAUGGCAGGUUGAUGGAAAAAGCCAAUGCAUAUACCCAGUGUCUACAUGUCAAAAAAUUACCCAUACGAAAUCUUUUCAGUGAUUCCCUUCUUCAAUAUGAAUUCAGAGGAGAGAGUUUUUGCUGAGAUGUCAAAUGCAGUCAGUUUGAACAGCAGUUGUACUUACUGCGUUUUUACACCCUACAACUCUAAGAAGGAAACCUGCAAAACAGUUUUAUGCUCACCAGCUUGGGCCGCUUUUGAUUAAUUUCAAGCGUUCAAUCUGUUACCUUUUUUUGUCCAGCGUUAUUUGGACACAGUUCUGUUUGAUUCAGCUAGGAAAAUCUACAUUUGUCUCAAAACGGACAGAUUAUUUUGGUGUCCAGAUUAUAUUUGGUGUCAAAAAAAUAGUUUUGUUUUAUUCAGCUAGGAAAAUCUACAUUUGUCAAAAAACGGACAGAUUAUUUUGGUGUCCAAAAUUCACCGGACAAAUAUCAUUGUUUAUAAUUUUCAUUUGGCAUUAAUAAAAGAAUAAUUUCUAUGUGCGUUUCGUGAAUUGGGACGUCUUCUGACUCCAGGGUUUCAUAGAAUGACAAAUGGAUUGUUGGGGGAAAUCUGAAGCUUGUAUUAAAAGUUUAAUUCACUGAACAUUCAGAACAAUUGUGGGUGAGAAAAAGAAAUAUAUCUUCCUCAAUAAACUUUUCUUUUGAAAAAGGAAAUACAAUUUAUAUCAUUUGAAUCCUAUGCAUUAUGUCGUUCAGUAAUUACACAGAAAAAGGAAUUUGUUCUUUUUCUCUUAAUCUCUAAGGCUUAGAGAGUACAUGUUUCUUGAAUAUAAUCUUUCCUAAGAUUUAAAGAAGCAGCUAAAUAGAAAAAUGAUGAAUUAAAGGAGAGCCAGGGUGACAAAUCGAGCUUAUGAUACCGUUAUAAUCCUCCUUUUUACAGUAACUAAUUCAAAUCUUUAGCAGCAACACAUUCAU